rnacentral:lncRNA from 1 species
UUUUUUUUUUCUUUUGUUUUUCCAAUUUUUAGUGAACAAAAACAUAAACAUGAGACUCAAAUUUUCAUUUUCCUUUUCAUUUCCUCUAUUUUGUCUGAAAUCUAUACAUUACUAAUUCAAAAGUAGGUAAAAUCACACACCUUGUUGGGAUUAAGGUCUCUCUCAUGGUUCUACUAAAAUAUUUGAAAACAUAACAUUGAAUUCUGAGAUAGC